ensembl:snRNA
AAAAAGGGCUUCUAUCUUGAGUGGCACACAUAGGGCAACUCAAUUGCUCCUCAUGCAAAAUCAACAUCAAGAGAUUGCAGAAGUAUAAUUUCUUGGUACCCGGGCAGCUGGUGAUCGUUGGUCCCAGGGCCCAU